GCCAGGUGCUAUGUUAUAAGGAUACUCAAGCAGCCCUAUGGAGAUAUCCACACAGCUAGGAGCUGAGAUCUCUUUCCAACAACCAGCACCAUCCUCAGUCUUGUCCAGCCUGUCUCCGCAGUAACGGAAUCUAACCUUACUGAGCGCAAACCCAAACUAUGUGCCGGGCACUGGAUAAAGUCACCUGACAAGUUCUUGCAAUUGGAUCUUUUAUCGCUGCUGCUUCAUCUGACCAGAAUCUGCUCCAGCGUCCUAAAAGGAAACAAGUAACCAAGAGGUCUUCUCUAAACAGACAGAUCACCUGUAACCGUCAACACUGGGAUUCCCCAACGCGAGGCGCUCCGGGUCAUGGUUUUACCCUUCUCCAUCACCCUGUGUUGCUGGAUACAUGCAGACAUCCCUGGAUGCUUUAGGGCCUCGUCCACUAAGGCUAUGGAUGGAGAUGUGUGAGGGCUUUGCUUGGGGAAUGAG